rnacentral:rRNA from 1 species
GACGAACGCUGGCGGCGUGGAUUAGGCAUGCAAGUCGAACGGUAGGAUACCUUCGGGUAUCUGAGAGUGGCGAACGGGUGAGUAACACGUAGGUGAUCUACCCUCAAGAUUGGGACAACCCAGGGAAACUUGGGCUAAUACCGGAUGAAAGCAGCAGUGAUGUUGUUUGAAAGGUGGCGUAAGCUGCCGUUUGGGGAUGAGCCUGCGCUCUAUUAGUUAGUUGGCGGGGUAAAGGCCCACCAAGGCGAUGAUAGAUAGGCGGCCUUAACGGGUGGUCGCCCACACUGGGAUUGAGAUACGGCCCAGACUCCUACGGGAGGCAGCAGUCGGGAAUAGUCUACAAUGGCCGAAAGGCCGAUAGUGCGACGCCGCGUGAACGAAGAAGCCCUUCGGGGUGUAAAGUUCUUUUAUAUGUGAGCAGUGCUUUCUAUGUGAACAGCAUGGGGAGAGAGAUAUUAGCAUAUGAAUAAGCAACGGCUAACUCCGUGCCAGCAGCCGCGGUAAAC